AUGGAUCUAUCUAGAUUGUGGAAGGAGACCAAACAUGCACUGAUGGAAUCUGAUUUUUGAGAUUAGGAAAGUGAGCUUCCUGUUUAGAUCGUCACCGGUCAGAGCUAGAUCCGUCAUCUCUAAGCUCAUGUGUUCCUUUUCAUAUCACUAUUUUGUUAUUUUGCUUGGUGAUUGAGAGUUUAUUUUGUGGUCGUAUCCGUUUUUAUGUUCUUUGCAAUGUCAGAAUUAGAGGUUAAUUCAGAUGCUGCCAGAUAUUGCUAACAAAGCUGUUUGGAACUGAAGAAGCUAACACGUCAUUUAUGCAAUGAAACUGUAUUAGAUUUUAAUAUUAAUACCACUAUAGUGUUGAUAUUUUUUUACAAUUAAUUGUUAAAAUUGAUAAGUUGACAGACAAAAUUAUAUCAUGCUAAUGAUGA